GACGAACGCUGGCGGCGUGCUUAACACAUGCAAGUCGAACGAAGUGGCGAACGGGUGAGUAACGCGUCAUCAACCUGCCCUUCAGAGGGGGACAACAGUUGGAAACGACUGCUAAUACCGCAUACUGAAGGAGGGGCUUGCGUCUGAUUGGCUAGUUGGGGGGGUAAAGGCCCACCAAGGCGAUGAUCAGUAGGCGGUCUGGGAGGAUGAACGGCCACAUUGGGACUGAGAACCGGCCCAGACUCCUACCGGAGGCAGCAGUGGGGAAUCUUCCGCAAUGGGCGAAAGUCUGACGGAGCAACGCCGCGUGAGUGAUGACUGCCUUCGGGUUGGAAAGCUCUGUUAAUCGGGACGCGGUACCGGAAUAGAAAGCCACGGCUAACUACGUGCCAGCAGCCGCGGUAAUAC
rnacentral:rRNA from 1 species